rnacentral:rRNA from 1 species
UACAGAGGUCUCAAGCGUUGUUCGGAUUCAUUGGCGUAAAGGGUGCGUAGGCGGCGCGGUAAGUCGGGUGUGAAAUUUCGAGGCUUAACUCCGAAACUGCAUUCGAUACUGCCGUGCUUGAGGACUGGAGAGGAGACUGGAAUUUACGGUGUAGCGGUGAAAUGCGUAGAUAUCGUAAGGAAGACCAGUGGCGAAGGCGGGUCUCUGGACAGUUCCUGACGCUGAGGCACGAAGGCCAGGGGAGCAAACGGG